CCAGUUCCCUGUGAGGGCCGGGGCAAAGGCCAGAAAGGAAACAUUAGCAAUGGCCCAGCGACUCAUGCCCAACAUGAGGUGAAUCAAGAAUUAAAUUUGAAAUGUGAUCCUGACCCGAAGAUGUUCUCCCUCCUUCUGAGAACAGUGUCCUCUCACUUCUCUAGGCUCUUUGGAAUCAGGAGGAGCUGGCUGCUUCAGCUGAAUCGCUGAAAAUGAAACUUUUAACAGACAAUAAUGAUAAUGAAGAUGAUAAUAUUAAUAUCCACUAUCUUCUAUUCACCAGGCCCUGUCCGGCUUUCUCACCAUCAUCGCCCUACUGAGAAACCCAGGGACAUACCAGGAACUGCUUCCACACAAGUGUUUUGCCAGCAGCCAUUGGUGAUCAAGGACUAGAUCCAUUAAUUCACUGCUUUUUCAAAGGCAAAAAACUUUUCCACAUUUCUUUAAACAUGGGCUGUCCUGUGCCACUUCUAAAAGAACAUAAUUGAAGCCUGGUUCUCUACAGAAACCAUUGCCACCUUAUAUUGUCCAGGGGUGAAUUUAGAGGAGUGACAUCAACAUCAUGGCAGCGUGAGCUUUCCCAGUAAUCUCUCCCUUCCACCAUACAACAAAAAAGACAUUCAUACUCCAACAGAGGACAUCCAAACACCACACAAAAGCUGUCUGAGUGACCCAUGCAGCCAUACGAUGGAGGGCAGAGAGGCUGGAGCCCCCCUUCGAGGAGGUGGAAUGGGGGACGGUUUUAUUCCAGGAACCACUCAGCUGACCCGGAAAGACAUCCUCUACAGACUACAAUCUUCAAAAGCAAAGUGCAUUAUUACCAAUGAAGUUUUAGCCCCAGCAGUAGAUGCUGUUGCAUCUAAAUGUGAAAAUCUGCACUCCAAGCUAAUUGUGUCUCAGAACCCCAGAGAGGGGUGGGGGAACCUCAAGGAGAUGAUCAAGUGAGUAGUCAUAACUGUUGCAGAACAGCUUCCCCAAAAGAAAGGCAAAUUGAAAAGUUACUCAACCCACAAGUGAUCAGGAAAAUGAAAAUUAAAACAAUAGACAAAGGGAAUUGGUGAUUAUUUCUGCACUAAUAGUGCAAAGCUCUGAGGCAGGAAGCAGCUUGGAGUGCUUUCGUAUGUUGGGAUUUCUAGGAAGCACACCCUGAGACAGAGAUUACUUGUGUAAGAAGUUUAUUAAGGAUUCCUUUUGGGAUCAACACCUGUGAAGGAAGGGGAACGAUGUGGAAUUGGGCAGAGGAAGAAAUUUAUCAGCCGUGAACUCCCCAAAAAGCCCUCAGCCAACCCAUUGGGACCUCUGGACUUUGGAUAGGCCCUGAAAGUUAUUCCAAGAUAAAGAGAUCCUGCCCUUUACAUGCCCACACUAAUCAGUAAUUAGUGCAGGCUGUCCGUUGAAGGUGGCGUAACCUUGAGCAAGGCAGCUCUCUUCAGCCAACGCCAUCUUUAAAGAGGGCUCCGUGUGGUUUUUAUGCCUCAUUUUGUUAAUGUGGUGUAUCACACUGAAUGAUUUGCGAAUGUCGACCCAUCCCUGUGUCUCUGGUAUAAAUCCCACUUGAUCAUGGUG